AUUGAACGCUGGCGGCAGGCUUAACACAUGCAAGUCGAGCGGGGUGAUGGUGCUUGCACUAUCACUUAGCGGCGGACGGGUGAGUAAUGCUUAGGAAUCUGCCUAUUAGUGGGGGACAACAUCUCGAAAGGGAUGCUAAUACCGCAUACGUCCUACGGGAGAAGGCAGGGGAUCACUUGUGACCUUGCGCUAAUAGAUGAGCCUAAGUCGGAUUAGCUAGUUGGUGGGGUAAAGGCCUACCAAGGCGACGAUCUGUAGCGCGUCUGAGAGGAUGAUCCGCCACACUGGGACUGAGACACGGCCCAGACUCCUACGGGAGGCAGCAGUGGGGAAUAUUGGACAAUGGGGGGAACCCUGAUCCAGCCAUGCCGCGUGUGUGAAGAAGGCCUUAUGGUUGUAAAGCACUUUAAGCGAGGAGGAGGCUCUUUUGGUUAAUACCCAAGAUGAGUGGACGUUACUCGCAGAAUAAGCACCGGCUAACUCUGUGCCAGCAGCCGCCGUAA
rnacentral:rRNA from 1 species